UCUUUGCUAGUAUAUCGGUUAGUACACGCGCCUGUCAUCCAGAACACGUCGUUUUACCGCGCGAAAGCUGGGUUCGACUCCCAGGCAAAGAG